AGUGAACGCUGGCGGUAGGCCUAACACAUGCAAGUCGAACGGCAGCACAGUAAGCGCUUGCUCUUACGGUUGGCGAGUGGCGGACGGGUGAGGCAUACAUCGGCAUCUACUUUUUCGUGGGGGAUUACGUAGGGAAACUUACGCUACUGCCGCAUACGACCUACGGGUGAAAGCAGUGGAUCUUCGCACCUUGCGCGAUUGAUUUAGCCGAUGUCGGAUUAGCUAGUUGGGGGGGUAAAGGCCCACCAAGGCGACGAUCCGUAGCUGGUCUGAGAGGAUGAACAGCAAAAUUGGAAAGGAGACAGGGGCCAGACCCCAAGGGGAGGCAGCAGGGGGGAAGUUUGGAAAAGGGGAGAAACCCGGACCGAGCCAAACCGGGUGGGGGAAGAAGGCCUUGGGGUUGUAAAACCUUUUUUUUGGGAAAAAAAAAAAGGAGGUUAAAACCCCGAUGUUCUGACGGUACCAAAAAAAAAAGCAACGGCUAACUUCGU
rnacentral:rRNA from 1 species